rnacentral:lncRNA from 1 species
CUUCCUCUCUCUUCUCUCUCUCUUUAUACUCUCCCAGAUCCCUGCUGUCUACGCCUAGUGCCUCCCGCCGGAAUUCGCCAUUAGUGGUGGCCAACCUCCAAUUGACCCCAUUUUUUCACCAUUUCUUUGUCUCUUCCUCCUCUUUCCAUAUACAUAUCCUAAAUCCUCGAAAUCCCUAUCAAACUAUUCUAAUCUAGCCAAAUUCGAAACCUUAGCUGCCACAUGUCGGCGUUCAUCACCCCAAACUUCAAAAAUUUCACACCACCGGUAUCCUCUUGCUCCCCUCUUCUCCAUUUCAUGCCUCAAAAGCUUAAAGUCCCUCCAAAAUCUGGCCGAAAUUCGGUUGAAUUCUGGCAGCAACCCUCAGUGUCGCGACCAUCGGUACCUCAUCGUUGCUGAGCUUUGUUACAGCUUGAGCACGACCAUGUUUCCUCUUUUUCUUUUUGACAAAAUGCUAGACUUAACUCUGUCUCGUCAAAGUUUGUGUGCUUUUCAGGAUUUGUCAUCAAGAAAAAGAGGCGUGGAGGUCGAUUCACCACCCAGUUGUGUUGUACUACUGGUUUGGAGACCGAGCGUUUAGGUAAAAUCCUAAUCCCUUGUUUAUCAUUUUUAGUUUCUCGUUAUUGACUGAAUUUUAGGUUUCUAGUCUAGUUUAAGUUCUUUUUUUUCUUAACUAAUGAUUAAUCGUCUUUUUGUUAAUUUCAAAAAUUUUGUUGUUUAUUUAUUCGUUUAGGAUAAUUGCUUCAGUCUUUUCCCUCUUUUUAUAACUUCUGUGUUCCCCCAUUUGUGUUUAAGUUUAGUUUAACUUCCAGAUUUCAAUUAAUUGUUAAUCCAUGAUUGCUAGUUCGUGUUAGAUUCAUUGACAAUCAUCGAUGAUUAGUCAUUAUUUAUACUUAUCGAAUCAUGUAUUAGUUAGUAUGUCAUUUUAGUUUGUCGUGAUGUUGUCGUUUAGUUCAACAAUAACAACAAUAACAUACCCAAUAAAAAUCCCACUAGUGGGGUUUGGGGAGGGUAGGAUGUACGCAGACCUUACCCCUAUCCCGAAGAGUAGGAAGACUAUAUCUGGGAGACCCGUGGUGUUCUCGUCUAGUAAUCAGUUACAUUAAUCACUUCGAGGUGAAUAUAUGUUUGUUGUCUUAAUGCUUGUUAUGUUUUCUGACUUCAACUAAAAUUUCAAAGUCUCCAAACUAUAACUGAGAUAUCAAAACCGUCAAUUGUAGCUUCUUUAAUUUCUGAAUUUGAUCGUUCUUUGGCUUGAAGUUUAGGUUAUGCUAAUCAAUGAUUCAGUCUACUUAUAUUAGUAUAUUUGGAGUUUGGCAAUGAUGUUUAGUCGCUUUUUAGGCUUGAAUCACCUAUAGAAUUGCAGUUUCGAGUGUGUCUUUCCUACAUUGUCAUAUUUCAGUUUGAGUUAGUAGUUCAUGUAUUUAAAAAACAAUUAGUGUCAGUCUUAAUUAACUAGAUUAAGUUUGAAGUAGUCAUUUAGUAUAGGUAAGUUAUAUGUUUGAGUCUUGUUGAUUCCUACUAGUUGACUCUUAACUAAUCUUAUUCGAAUUACUAAUUGUCUGAACUAGAUUGAAUCUGGUUUCUCUUCGUGGACUAGCUAGCUUUGAAUUUGGUUUGAGAAAUUAAGAGGAAAGGGAAAGAAAAGAGGAUACUUGAGUGGAGGGUCCUUUGUUCUUGCUUUUUACUGUUACAAUGCUCCAAAAUUCUGUCCAUAUUUGUUGAGAGCAACUAUUCAUUGGAUAGAAAUCUGAUUUUGGACAAAUUUUUGGUCAAAAGUCUAUCAUUUUGGACAGAUUUGUGCCCAAACAAAAUCUGUCCCAUGGUCCUUCCCCCUAUAAAAAGAGGAGCUCUUUCCUCUUUUUAAGAACAUCUUGGAAUCUAAAACACACACUUCUAACACACUUAGAAAAAGAAUACAACUUUGAGAAUAAAAAGAGCAGCUGAACACCUAAAUAGUAAGAUGAAAAUUCUGAGCUAGAAUGAGUGAUUUCUCAAGUGCAAAACCUUUAAGAAAAUAGAGGGAUCUUGUGAGGAAUUUCCAGAGAGACUCAUUUCUGGUUUCAAUUGCCUUAUUGGUCAUCUCUGGUUCAUUUUCUUUGGUCUAAGAGUUGUUAGUUGCUGUUGUGUUGCUGUGUUGCUGCUUUUUCUGCUGUAAUUUGGAAAGAGUUGAUUUGCUGAAUUUUCUUCUUCUUUUUGAUGUCCAGGUAGCUUUCAGGCCAUGUAAACUCCUAAAAAUCAAGUCGGAAUGAAAGCAAUGGUGUUUGAAAAUAUUAGCAACUUCAUUCUUGCAUACUUUUGAAUAUAUGAUAAUGCCAUGAAUGUUCUGUUAGUUAAUUAAACUGUGCCAAGCAUCUUUAGUCUUGUGCCAAAGUUUAGGAGACAAUUCUGCUUGGCCCUCAGUUGUGUGGUUGUAGGGAGUAUCCCUAAGUGGUGUAGUUGUGAAAAAUGAGUAUCUAUUAUAUUUUGAACCAUGCAAUUUCAUGUUUAUCCCUCUGUUUGUUG